rnacentral:rRNA from 1 species
CAGCAGUCAAGAAUAUUAGUCAAUGCUCGCAAGAGUGAACUAGCUAACUGAAAUCACAGGAACCAUUACAUGUGGUGAAUGUAAUAACGUAAGGGAAAAAAAUGAUAGUACCUUACUAAUAGUGUUGUCCAAAACUGGUGCCAGAAGACUCGGUAAGGCCAGAGACGCAAACGUUAGUCGUCCUAAUCAGGCGUAAAGGGUAUGUAGGCUGCUUUAAAAGUUUUAUUCUUUGUAGCUAUUAAAAAAAAUAAGAUUUUAUCUUAAAUUAUUUUAAAAUAAUAAAAUGAAUUAAAGCUAGGAUCAAAUUGAGGAUAAGUCAAAUAAUACUUAGUGGAGGGUUUGAAUCUGACGAUAUUAGGUAGAGUACUAACGGUGAAAGCUUUUUGUCUAGAAAUGAUUGACGCUGAGAAACGAAGGUGAGAAUAGGAAAUAGGAUUAGAUACCCAGAUACCUCUCACAGUCAACGAUGAAUGGUGGUUGUUAGUUAGUUUAUAUUUAACUGAUAACGAUGUUAACACGAUAACCAUUCCGCCUUGCGAGUACGGUUGCAAAACUGAAACCAAAAAAAUUAGUCGGUCUCGAAGCAAACGGAGUGAAGCAUGUUAUUUAAUUCGAUAAUCCG